GUUGCGUUGCUCUGAGGCUGGUUUUGCUGGGAUGGAUUUGGGGCUGCGCAGAGGACCAUGCAAAUGAGCUCAGCUGUGGCUCUUACCUAUCCUUCUGAUGACUUUUCCAUUCUUUGAUUUCUACUUUGCUCAACUUUUAUAAUACUUUGAGUAAACAGCACUGUGCUAUGUUUUAUCUUUUACUUAUAUGCAAAAAUUUUAACUGCUGAUUACAGAAGUCUUGCACACUGACGUCCUUAAUACCACAAAAAUCUUUCAAAAAUGUGCCAUUGAUGGCUUGGUGAUGAAGGUGGUCAUAUAAGGAGGAAUGCAAGCCAUUGUAAAGAGCCGACAAAGACUUCUGCCACAGCCAGUAAGGAAACAAGGAGUUCAGUUCUAUAGUCACAGA